ensembl:lncRNA
AUAGAAUAUAGAACAAAAUAGAAUAUAAUUCAAAACAUGGAAUAUAUUUUAGUUAUUAUGAUAUAUAUUUUCGCCCAUUUAUUUUAUUGCUUCUUGCUUUUUGACAUAACUAAAACAAUUAUGUUUUUUUUUUUUUUUUUUAUCUGGGGUAGUAGCCUAAUAUUUUAGUUAUUUUUUUUUAUUUAAUUUAUAUAUCUUUGGCCAUUUAUUUUAGCUUCCAGCCUUUUGACAUUUAACAUAACUAAAACAAUGUAUGUUUUGAGGUUUCUUUCUAGCUAUAGUUUGUUUACAUUUCAUUUAUCCUUUAUUUAGCCAGGAAAAAAAUCCCAUUGAGAUAUAAUAAUCUCUUCUUCCAGGGAGACCUGGGCAAAAACGGCAGCACACAUAUAGUUUCAAACACAUACAUAAUUAAAACACAAACAAUCCAACAAAUCAAAAAUAGAUCGAAGUUCAAGAAAAACAUUUACAAGACUCUUUAAAUGUAGAAUACAGAAUAAAUUUAAAAGUGCUCAAAGAUGGCAAAGACUCUAAUUUCAAUACAUUUUGUAGGUCGUUCCAAACCCUAGGGGCCUAAAAAGAAAAAGCAUGCUUUCCAAAUUCAGUGAAUACUCUUGGGACUUUUAAACAAAGAUGCAGCUGCGAUCUGGUACCAUAACCAUUAGUAUAAAAAAAUAUUCUACAUCCCCAAUCCAACAUCCUCUCCCAUUUGUAAUUAUGUACAUUGAUGUCUUGAGAUGUGCAGAUGUGUUCCUUCUUCGUGCCCACGCGCUGUAGAGCUGCUCAAGCGCUUUAACAUGAUGGUGUGUUAAUAGUGAACAGGUAUGAUGCGCGCGCGCGGCGGGAGGUGAUGGUGGUGGUCAUGUGACGCGGCUCUCGUGAAGGUGGCACACAGACACAGGGAAGAGCGCGACACUUCAUACACCUCUCUCCAACCGAGUUCAACACAACAGCACACAAUCAUGUCUAUUAGCCGGAAAAACUGGUCUGCUUUGUCAACGCUGGCUCGACAGUGGACUGUGGAGGAUGAGGAAGAGGUGGAGAGAGAGAAGAGGAGGAAGACAAGGGAGUCUACAGCAGACUCGGAUGAAAGUCCCACUGAAGAGACCAAACCACAAACCAGUAGUGUUAGCGGGCCUGCUGAUGCUGGCGACUCUGGCGGCGGUGUGGCCCAGCUGCAGAUGGACUUUGUGGAGAUGUUGCGAGUCCGUGAUGAACGGAGGAGGAUGAGGCACGUUGAAACCCUGAGGAAGAAUAAGGAGGAAGAUGAUGGGGGCAAAGAGACCGGCCCGGAUGUGGAGCCCCAUGUGGAGCUGCUGGGGGAAGAGCAGGACGAGGAACUCUUCAAGAACAUUCAGCGAUGCGUGGAGACAUUCAUGUCACCAGAACCUCCCAUCAACUCCAAAGACUCAGAGACACACGAGAAGGAAGAAAAUGGAGGCACGAACCAAGAUUCAACAUCAACAAACUCCCAACCCCCCUCAAAAGCAUCCAGAAAGUUUGUGAGCUCUCUCUCCAUCUCCUUUGAUAAGAGUCCCACAUCACCCCCAGCAACCAGCAGACUGGUUUCUCCUCUGAGCCCCAAGUCUCCGCCCCCUCAGUCCCCGAGGGCGGAGUCACCUCACAGCCCCACCCAUUCAGGCUCAAUGAGCCCCACACCGAAUGGAGACGCAGCGAGACAUGAAAAUGGGUCACCGAGCAAUUUCGAACCAACUGCGAAACCUGCGUUCACACGCCAGAGCUCCAGAACGGUGUCCUUCAGGAUGAUGAAGAAGAAGGAAGAAGAAAACAUGCCGCUACAGAGAAGUGCAAGUGUGCGGAUUGCAGCGAAGACCUUUGAAUCCAAUGAGGGAUCCAAACAAGAGGAGGAGCAGCAGACCCCGUUUCAGAGAAACUCCCGACAGAGGUUAUCAUCUCACUCCAUUCAGGAGAAAAUGGAACGACUGGCUCAAGCCUCACAGAAAUGGGAAAUAUCCAAAUCCCCAGUGGUGCACCAGACUGUGUGUUUAGCGGAUGAGGUGUCAAGGAAGAGGGAGCUGUUUGAGAAAGAACAGGAGGGAUCCGACAGAAGCCAUGUGUUCUCCAAACAGGAAUUCCGCAACUUUUCUUCAGGAAUCUCUGAUCGGAUUAAUCGCUGGGUUCAGAAGAAAACAUUUACUGUGUCAUCAUCAUCCCCAUCAUCAUCAUCAUCAUCUCAUAGUCCUUUGGAUCUGAGACAUGUGAGCAUCUCCAGUAAGAAAAGUUUGUUUGAAAGAGGACAAGACCAGGACCCCAAGUGACACUCUCACGGAUAAAGACAAAGUUUAAUGAGAUUCAUUUGAUCAUGUGUCUCUGCAGAUUUUGAAGGAAGCUUGAUCGACUCUUUCAGACACUCAGUGCCAAGGAUUGUCUCUUAACUCCUUUUCCUUCUGCUUCUUUACGUUGGCUAAUUCCUCAGCACUUCUAAGGCAUAGUACUGAUCUACAUUAUUUGGGUAAAUUCAAGGCUUAUGUUAUUGGUUGUGAAUGUGUGUACUGAUGGAUUGCGGAAUGCAACAGGACUGUAUUAUAGAGUCUUUACAUAGAAACUGAACAUCACAGGGUUUAUCUGACAGCAGGAAUACAGACAUACAGCUUCUUUGUGUCUGUGCCAGACACUCCUCUUCCUUGUAGCUUGAUAUUUGUGCUGUUGAUAAGGAGAAAGAGGCGUAAUCUAUGACCUGAGCCAUAACUCAAGGUACAAGGUACAACUGUAAUAUCAUGAAUGUCUGUUUCAGUGAACCAGACUGGAAAUAACCUGAAUGAUUCAUUUGUUAUGAAGCUGGAAUCGUGCUCUGAAGCUGACCUAUGCUCUUGCUGCUGUUUUAACUUGCCGGAGACUUAAGUCAUAAUAAGUAAACGUAAUUUAGACGUAAUCUAUAGAGAAAUGUUCCCUAUCAAGCCCUUUGCAAACUGACUUCAAUCCAUUCAAUUCAACCAAGCUUAUGUUUCCUUUUUUGCUAACUGACCUGUCAUGUAAUUAUAUUUUCUGCCCAGGAGGGUUAUGCUGUAGAUUAAUAAAAAAAUGUUUUUUACUAGUGAUUGUGUUGUC